CCAAGCUGGCUUUGAGGUCACUCAUUAGGUGCCAGGGGUGGGAUAGGCUUUGCUCUUCUGGUUGCCCAGGUGCAAUUCCACUUCUACAUCAACACCUGUGAUCACAUUGCUCUCCAGUUCCGUACAACAAGCCCAGGCAGUCACCGAAACAAAAGUGCAAUCCCAAGCACAGAGCAGAGCACUCACCCCAACCAACCAGUGGAUGCUGAGAGACAGACAAGGAGAAUGCAUUUUUGCCUCCAAGAAAGAAUGAAAAUUACAACCCUAUCUACAUAGCAAAGGAUACUUUACUCCAGGGUGCAGAACAAGAAGGCUGAAAGAAAUCUGUAGAUAGAUAUUCAAAUCAUACAGCGGGCAAAGUAGGUAAAUAAAGUUUUCAAGAUUUCCA
rnacentral:lncRNA from 1 species